UUUUGUCUGGAGAUUCUGAUCAAGUUGACACAGACUAAAAGUCUUUUCCAAGGUCAUCCUAGAGG
rnacentral:sRNA from 1 species